AGGCAGACUGAGCAGGCCCAUCCAUGCCAGGCAGACUGAGCAGGCCCAUCCAUGCCAGGCAGACUGAGCAGGCCCAUCCAUGCCAGGCAGACUGAGCAGGCCCAUCCAUGCCAGGCAGACUGAGCAGGCCCAGCCUUUAACCCCAUCCAUGCCAGGCAGACUGAGCAGGCCCAGCCUUUAACCCCAUCCAUGCCAGGCAGACUGAGCAGGCCCAGCCUUUAACCCCAUCCAUGCCAGGCAGACUGAGCAGGCCCAGCCUUUAAC